UUGUUGGACCUUUUGGUCACUGGAAUUUGGAAGUCACGUUACAAAAUUCAAGGUUAGUAAGGAUCUAUGUAUUAAUGAUCAUAUAUAGUAGUAUUUGCAAGUUCGAUAGACUAUUAAUUCACCACUUUUGUUGUCUCUGGACUUUUAGUCAAAACCGGCUUCACUUGUUGUUCUCGUAGAGUUUAUGGAUGCCAAAAAAGCCUUGCAUCUCUUUAAUGACUGUCUCAACAAAAUAUGAUUGGAAGAAGUCGGUUAGGAAACCCAUAGACCCGGGAUUUGUUUUUCUUUCUGCAUGCACAUAAUACGUUUCCAUAUUCCUUACAUAAUACUAAUUGGAAGAAGUCGGAGAAAGUGGACUAGCUAGUCUUCCUCCUUGCUCGGGGUGGUAACAAGCUUAUCGUUCAUCUAGUUUAUGAUCAUAGGUUUUGAUGGCGUUUGCAACUAA